rnacentral:tRNA from 1 species
ACUUAUAUAGUAUAAUUAAAUUAUAUUUAACUUCCAAUUAAAAGAUCUAGCCUAGUAUAAGUA